UAAGGGUCCUGAAGGAACGUUGAAGACGACGGCGUUGAUAGGCCGGGUGUGUAAGCGCAGCGAUGCGUUGAGCUAACCGGUACUAAUGAACCGUGAGGCUUAACCUUACAACGCCGAAGGUGUUU
rnacentral:rRNA from 1 species